UACAGAGGUCUCAAGCGUUGUUCGGAUUCAUUGGGCGUAAAGGGUGCGUAGGCGGCGCGGUAAGUCGGGUGUGAAAUCUCGGGGCUUAACUCCGAAACUGCAUUCGAUACUGCCGUGCUUGAGGACUGGAGAGGAGACUGGAAUUUACGGUGUAGCGGUGAAAUGCGUAGAUAUCGUAAGGAAGACCAGUGGCGAAAGUGGCUCUCUGGGACGGUACUGGACGCUGAGACGCGAAAGCGUGGGGAGCGAACAGG
rnacentral:rRNA from 1 species